rnacentral:tmRNA from 1 species
GGGGGCGAUCUGGCUUCGACGUGGGUAGCGAAGCUUUAAGUGCAUGCCGAGGACUGUACACCUCGUAAAUCCUACAGAAACUAAGUAUUCGCAAACGACGAAAACUACUCAGUGGCCUUAGCAGCUUAAAACCUGCACCACUUCUCUGACUAAAUGUGCUUAUGCGUUUAGAGUCCUUUCGGGGACGCUCAGGGAUCAUUUUACAUAAGAUCGCGUCAAGGCUUCGUCCGUAGCUGGCAGCGCUAAACCCAAUCGGAACCGCUGUUGAUCCUCUUGGCCCGACGGGUAGUCAACAGUUAAAUUAAAAGCGCGGGAUAAGCAUGUAGAGCUUACAGUGGAGUGCUUACGGACGGGGGUUCAAUUCCCCCCGCCUCCACCA